rnacentral:rRNA from 1 species
UACGUAGGUGGCAAGCGUUGUCCGGAAUUACUGGGUGUAAACGGCGUGUAGGCGGGUAUGCAAGUCCGAUGUGAAAUUCCUUUGCUCAACGGAGGCGCUGCAUCUGAAACUGUAUAUCUUGAGUGCUGGAGAUGAAAGCGGAAUUCCUAGUGUAGCGGUGAAAUGCGUAGAUAUUAGGAGGAACACCAGUGGCUAAGGCGGCUUUCUGGACAGUAACUGAUGCUGAGGCGCGAAAGCGUGGGGAGCAAUCAGG